AUACUGUUGUGUUUUUAAUGGGUGAUUUUUUUGAUGUUUGAGCCGCCAUUUUACUAAACGAGACAGUAGGAAGAUGUCAAAGAAAGUCGAAGAACCCGAUGAAUCUCAACUCUCUAAACCUGGAAAAGAGGGGAUGAAAGAAAAGCAAGAAAAGAA